UACGUAGGGGCCGAGCGUUGUCCGGAUUUAUUGGGCGUAAAGCGCGCGCAGGCGGCUUGGCGCGCCCGACGUGAAAGCCCCCGGCUUAACCGGGGAGGGUCGUCGGGUACGGCCAGGCUUGAGGGCGGGAGAGGGUGGUGGAAUUCCCGGUGUAGUGGUGAAAUGCGUAGAGAUCGGGAGGAACACCUGUGGCGAAGGCGGCCACCUGGGCCGACCCUGACGCUGAGGCGCGAAGGCGUGGGGAGCGAACGGG
rnacentral:rRNA from 1 species